rnacentral:lncRNA from 1 species
AAGAGAACUCCAAAUUCCAGUUCCUGUUCUGAAAUGUAUUUAACUCUUUUAUAUGACUGCCUCAUUUUUAUCAUUAUCUGAGCUGACUCUCACUGAAUUUCCAGUUCUCUGAAAAUGUCCUUUUAGCUUAUGUUUAAAGGAAGAGGUGCCAUCUUCUGGCCUAUUGUGAAUAUUCAUUCAUACACACACUACAGUGUAUUACUGUGAGUUUACCUUAGAGGAAAGAAAUCUUGACUUAAAUCUAGAAAUAAGACUUUCAUCCUGGUUGCAUAAAUUCUUAGACUCUGAUAGGUAAUUCAGCCUUCAAUAUAUUUAAUGUUACCCAGGACCUCUGUGCCUAUUUGAUAAUACCAAAUAGUAGGUCACUUAGUAAUCAGAAUACUUUGCAGAGCUAUAGGCUUGAAGUGCCAUGUUGAUCCCAUUUAAAAGGUACUGAGAUACAGAAUAAAUUUAAACAGCAACUCUUAAGUGUUUUUAGAAAGAGUAUGUGAACCUUAAGGGCAACUUAUCUAGCCUUAGCCAUUAGGCAAAAUCAUAUUGAAACAUGUUAGUCUUUUUCUAAUAUGUCCUACUUUUGAAAAUGGAGGAAAGAAAUUCAUCUUCAGGAAAUUACUCCUUUAACCUAAUUUUUUUCUGCUGA